UGAUGGUGUCGUCGGCACUGUCCACGUUGUACGCGGUGGUCAUCAGCGCGGACUUGAUUGAUGGUGGUGGGGCCACAUAUAUAAAAGGUGGGCCAUGCUGCAUCAAACUCUCAUGCUGCGAAAUCCUCUCACACUGCAAAAUUCAAGUCUCCACGGGAACUGAACUCAGCUCUGCCGAGCACAAAAGUUGAGGAGCAGGUUUACAUCGAAGUGAAGGUCCUGGAAGAACAGUUUCUUUUUUCACUUGUAUACGGUUUAUCUAUAAUGGGGGUGGGGCCGGUGGGCCGAGUGCAGAUCACUGCUUGGAAUAUUUGAGCCAUGGGACAAGUGCUUAAGAGGUGGAAUGGAAGCACUUGCCUGCACACUUGCUACGGAUUGGUGCCGACGGAGAUCAAUCCUGGAGACUGACUGUAGUGUCGUGGCUUACUUUUUUUUUCAAACUUGAGCAUCUCCAAGAGCUCUUUUAUAAUAUUAGCUAAAUUUAAAGUUUUACAAGCUUUGUAAAAAAAUAGAAGACCUUCUAUAGAGUGAGUA